CAGUAGCCGCGGGAAUACGAAGGGGGCUAGCGUUGCUCGGAAUCACUGGGCGUAAAGGGUGCGUAGGCGGGUUUCUAAGUCAGGGGUGAAAUCCUGGAGCUCAACUCUGGAACUGCCUUUGAUACUGGGCGUCUUGAGUGUGAUAGAGGUAUGUGGAACUCCGAGUGUAGAGGUGGAAUUCGUAGAUAUUCGGAAGAACACCAGUGGCGAAGGCGACAUACUGGAUCAUUACUGACGCUGAGGCUCGAAAGCGUGGGGAGCAAACAGGAUUAGAUACCCGUGUAGUCCCUGUCUCUUAUAC
rnacentral:rRNA from 1 species